AACAGAACGCAGAGGGACUGCAUUGCAGUUGAGAAGGUUAAAACCUGACUCUUUGAACCUGUCAGUUAAUACUGUCGUAGGGAGCGGAAGAUAUGUGUAU
rfam:Lachnospiraceae bacterium A2 genomic scaffold acPFL-supercont1.1, whole genome shotgun sequence.